UUACGACCAUAUCACGUUGAAACACCGGUUCCUGUACUAUCAAUAAAGUUAAGCAACGUCGAGCUUGGUCAGUACCUAGAUGGGUGACUGCUUGAGAAGACCAGGUACUGUA